rnacentral:lncRNA from 1 species
AUUUAAGUUCUAGGUCGUCCACCAGUAAAAUGCGGGAAUACUUUUAAGUUCUAGGUCGCCCACCAUUAAAAUGCGGGAAUACUUUUAAGUUCUAGGUCGCCCACCUGUAAAAUGCAGGAAUACAUUAUGUUCUAGGUCGCCCACCGUAAAAUGCGGGAAUACAUUUAAGUUCUAGGUCGCCCACCAGUAAAAUGCGGGAAUACUUUUAAGUUCUAGGUCGCCCACCAGUAUAAUGCGGGAAUACUUUUAAGUUCUAGGUCGCCCACCAGUAAAAUGCGGGAAUACAUUAAGUUCUAGGUCGCCCACUAGUAAAAUGCGGGAAUACAUUAUGUUCUAGGUCGCCCACCAGUAAAAUGCGGGAAUACUUUUAAGUUCUAGGUCGCCCAACAGUAAAAUGCGGGAAUACAUUUAAGUUCUAGGUCGCCCACCAGUAAAAUGCGGGAAUACAUUAUGUUCUAGGUCGCCCACCAGUAAAAUGCGGGAAUACAUUUAAGUUCUAGGUCGCCCACCAGUAAAAUGCGGGAAUACUUUUAAGUUCUAGGUCGCCCACCAGUAAAAUGCGGGAAUACAUUAUGUUCUAGGUCGCCCACCAGUAAAAUGCGGGAAUACAUUUAAGUUCU